GGGCCCGCACAAGCGGUGGAGCAUGUGGUUUAAUUCGAUGAUACGCGAGGAACCUUACCAGGGCUUAAAUGCAGAGCGACCGAUGCCGAAAGGUAUUUUCCCUUCGGGGCGGUUUGCAAGGUGCUGCAUGGUUGUCGUCAGCUCGUGCCGUGAGGUGUUAGGUUAAGUCCUGCAACGAGCGCAACCCCCUAUCUUUAGUUGCCAGCGAUUCGGUCGGGGACUCUAAAGAGACUGCCAGCGCAAGCUGUGAGGAAGGUGGGGAUGACGUCAAAUCAUCACGGCCCUUACGUCCUGGGCUACACACGUGCUACAAUGGUAGUGACAGAGGGCAGCCACCACGCGAGUGGGAGCAAA
rnacentral:rRNA from 1 species